CGAAAUUCGUAUUUCGUACUGUUUUAUUCGAAGGUUAAAAAAGAGAGAGAAAACUAAACACCACACGCUUCCAAAGCGAUGCUGUCAGUAUGUAGUUACAUUUCCAAUUGUACUUGUUAUGGUUGUUGCUGUAGUUGUGAAUGCGCAAGCGGGGUCGACGCUUGUUCUUUGGGUGGCAGCACAUAUGUCUUCUUCGAAUGGCGUUGCCAGAACCACCUUACAAAGGCUCAUCACUUACCGAGCACAGCCAAUGCCACUGCCGCUGCAAUCACCCACCAAAGCCAACUGGGCGCUUUAACGCGUACAGCCUCAAUUUUACAGCUAUGAUAUCUCGUUGAGUUGACAGUUUGGUUGUAUGGAUCUGGACA